GACGAACGCUGGCGGCGUGCUUAACACAUGCAAGUCGAACGGAAAGGCCCUGCUUUUGUGGGGUGCUCGAGUGGCGAAUGGGUGAGUAACACGUGAGUAACCUGCCCUUGACUUUGGGAUAACUUCAGGAAACUGGGGCUAAUACCGGAUAGGAGCUCCUGCUGCAUGGUGGGGGUUGGAAAGUUUCGGCGGUUGGGGAUGGACUCGCGGCUUAUCAGCUUGUUGGUGGGGUAGUGGCUUACCAAGGCUUUGACGGGUAGCCGGCCUGAGAGGGUGACCGGCCACAUUGGGACUGAGAUACGGCCCAGACUCCUACGGGAGGCAGCAGUGGGGAAUAUUGCACAAUGGGCGGAAGCCUGAUGCAGCAACGCCGCGUGCGGGAUGACGGCCUUCGGGUUGUAAACCGCUUUCGCCUGUGACGAAGCGUGAGUGACGGUAGUGGGUAAAGAAGCACCGGCUAACUACGUG
rnacentral:rRNA from 1 species